CUCACCUUGCACCCAGGUACUCGGGCUUAGGAACAGCAGCAAGUUGUGCCCUCUGUCCCCUGGGACUUUCCAUGGCACGACCCCCAGCUCUGUGCACCAUGUCCUCUGUCCCUCUCAGCAGCCUUGGAAUGUGAGGAAACAGAGAUGACGAGACCGGCUGAGGUCACCUGGCAAACCGGUGGCUGACCCAGGAUGAUAAGAUGACAGGGUUUGAAGAUGGGGACAUUGAGGCAGAGAGAAGCAAAAGGCUUUUGGAAGGUCACACAGCAAGUCAGUGGCAAAGCUAGAAGUCAAGCCCAGAGGAUUUCACUCUACACUUGUCAAAAGCCACAGGCUAGGCCAAUGUGGGCAGAGGGGCAAGGCUGCUGGAACCUCUGAGAUGGCUGGCGCAGCCCCUCCUUGCCGGCCCGGGGUGGCCACAAAUGCAAGAACCGGGAAGGGCCCUCUUGGCACCUGACCCUCACCUGGCACUGUCAGCCCUUGACCACUUCCCCGGUGGGUAGGCAUGCCACCUGUGUCUGCACCCUCCAGCGACCAGGGGCUCAGCUGUUCCCCUGGAUGCCUGUGCUCUCCCUGCUCUGCCCUGCCUGAGCGGAAUCUCCUCCUGCCCUUUGAAUCCACCCCGCAGUGGGAUCUGGCAUCACCCUGUGGACCUCCAGACCUGCCUGUUCCCCAGCUCUGGGACAGCACAUGUGACUCCUUAAGUCUUCUCGGCUGUAGCCCCUCUGACCUCUACAGAUCUAGUAACUUUUCUGAAGUCCACAAUCUGUGGCUGUGGCCCAAGGAGCUCUAAGGGCAGUUUGAGGAAUUAAAAUGAAGACAGUCCUGCAGCCACCUGUGUAUGUGUGUCAGGGCUGGCAGGGAAGCGGUGGCUUCAGGGCUCUACUUCCAUCCAGCCUCCGCCACCUUUGCCCCCACGGUGAAGGCAGCCUAGUGCACUGUUUCCAGGGUCUGGCCCUUUUAAAUUUAGCUGCGGGGAAAAAGCAGUUUGUGCAGGUCUGGAACUUGGAGACAAUCAGCAACAGGAAAAAGUCAUCCGAGGGGAGCUUUCAGUGAAUUAUGGAGGUAUUGUUCCUGCGCCCAAGGAGCCAGGGCUGCUGGUCCAAACCUCGCUGACCCAGCCCAGGCCUUUGGGGCAAAACAUUGCCUGGAGCUGCGUCAGGACAACACAAUGUGGGCCUCUGAAGGCCAAAAAAAAAAAAAAAAAAAAAGGGCCAGAGGAAGAAAAAUACUGGAAAUUCCCUGCAUCCCAGUGAUGGAAGAGCCUUUCUUGAAAAUCAACAGCAAGGGAAAGGUUGCUGCCCGCCCAGGCGGGGCCUCGGGGAGCAGGAGGAAGUCGCAAGCGAUAUUUUGAGAUAUUUUCAGUCUGGUGUGAUGCCGGUUGAUUUUCCAAAACACAAGGGCCUCAUGCUGGGAGGAGAGUUGAGGCUGGACUGAAGCUCACCAAGGGUGGGGCCGGGGUGCAGGAUGGGCCAGGACAAGAACAUAAACAGAAGCUGACCCAGUUGGAGAGCUCUGGUGCUCCAGAUGGCUGACUCCCAGGCCCCUCGCCACCCUGGGAGGCCCAGGGGGGUCUCCUGUUGACCCAAAGGCCCUUCCGGACCUCACCUAGGUAGGAAAACUGCAGAUGAAGACUGGGAUCCCCCUGCACAGAAUGCCUGCUAAGUGGCCAGGCAGAUUCUGCUUGCUCGCCUCUCCUGAUGGGGCACUCACCACCUAUUCAGCAGCUCAUCCCAUUUCUGCACAGCUCUGAGUGGGAGAAACAAUAACAAUGGUUGUGGAAGGGACACAGCAGUGAACAAAACAAACGCUCCCGUCCUCAUGGGGCUGACACUUUAGUAAAGGGACACAGUACAAAAAAUUAAUAAAAUGUAUGGUAUGCUAGAAAUUGCAAACACUGUGAGGGAGAAGAUAAAGCAAGAAAAGGGGUAGGAGGCACUUGGGAUGCAAUUCUGGAAAUAGGUAGUUAAGGAAAAAGUUCCUCCUCACUCUCAGCUGGGACCCACCUCCCUGGGAUGUCUCGUGGACCCCACUCUGCCCUCUGGGCACAGAGGUUCAUCUGCUCCCCCCUAGGCAGGGAUAGUCUUGCUCUGUUCCAAAUUGAGCAGGGCCAACUCCUCACAGGAAGGGGGCUCCAGCCCUCUCACCCUUCUCUAGGGCUCCAGAGUGAGCCCCUUUCACAGAGGUGGGAAGGACAUUGUAAACCCUCUAUCUCCAUGAAGGCAUGCGAAGGUCCCUUUUCAGCUGUUUUAGCAGCUGUAUCCCACUGUUACCUCCCACUGAACUCAUCAACCUCUGAUGUCAUGAAUGGUCAGGACAUCCCGCCUUCUCCUUCCAAGGAUAGCAUGAGCUUGCAGACCCAAGAAUAAGAAUUUGCAUUUAUUCUUAUUGUUUCAUCUUGCAGCAUUUCAUCCAUGCAGAAUUGCAGCUUGCAGAGAUCUUGUUGUGGCUUGCAAAGAUCUUUUUGGCAUAGAGGUAGACCACACAUGAGAUAGACAAAGGAUUAAUAUUCUCAACAUACAAAGAGUACCUAAAAAUUGAUAAGAAAAAUACAAAACAAAAAUAAGGAAAGACACAUAGACAAAGAAUAUGAUCAGACAACUCACAGAUGCAGAAAUGCAAAUGGCCAAUAAACAAAUGAAAAGAUGCUCAACCUCUCAGGCAGUCAUAGAAAUGCAAAUUAAAAGAAUAACGAUAUGCCAAAUGCCAUUUUUCUCCCAUCAGAUUGGGGAAAAUAUUAAAUAUUGAUGACAUCCAGUGCCAGCCAGGCGGGGGCAGUUGAGCAGUUUUGACGCGGCUGGUGGGAGUGUGAGCUGCCACAAUCUUUUGGGACACUAAUCUGUAUUGGAGUUUAAAAUGUGUAUGACCUUUGGUCCAGCACUUCCACUUUGGAGAAUUUUUUGUACAAAACCAUAUAGACACAUAAGGUGAUAUGUACAAGGAUGUUUGUUGCAAAAACAAAAGAAUGCGCUAAAUAUUGAUCGUUAAGGCAAUGAUUGAAUGAAUUAUGGGACAUUUGUUCUAUGAAAUGUUAAGCAGCUGAUAAAAAUAAGUUGAUCUGUGUGUAUGUUGUGUGUGUGUGUACAUGUGUAUGGACCUGAAAUUGUGCUUAUGAUAUAUUAUAUAAAAAACAAGAUGCAGAGUCAGGUAUAUGGUAUGAUCCUAUUUUUGUAAACAUGUUUGAAAGAGCAAAGAGUAAACUGGAAAAAAAUAUUCACUAAACUGCUAACAUCAGUUAUCCCAGAGGAAAAGAAUCACUAGCAGCAAGAUUAGUAAAUUUUUUGAUGUCAUAUCUCUUUUGUUUGGCUUUUGCAAUAGGUUUUUAUAGCUCUAAUAAUUUUGGUAACAAAUACUCUUUCUUAAAAGUUAUUUUUAAACAGUUCUUAUGGAGCUCUGACCAUCAUGUCUUCAUUAUGAGCAAAGGCAGGAGUCAGCCC
rnacentral:lncRNA from 10 species